UUUAAAUUGCCUAAAGUUAUGACAUAAGUUGAAUUUUAAUCUUCAGUUAUGUAGCAGUUAAGCUGUUUUAUAUUAUAGGCACGACAGAUUUCAACAUUUUAAGACAUACUACUUAUCGUAGUAUGGAUAUUUUGAAAUUGAUGAAAAGACAUUGGUUUUUCGCUGGAACAAUGAUUGCUAUAUUUCUUGCUGAAAUUUUCCCAGAAUUAGGAGCAAUGGAAGGUCCACUGAAUCCAGAAGUUACUGUUAAGUAUGGCGCUGUCUCACUCAUCUUCCUUGUCAGUGGACUGUCAAUAAAGCUUGAAGAACUUUUGAGUGCUGUCACAAAUGUUAAAAUACAUAUUUUUAUCCAGUUAUUUUCACAAGUAUUCACCCCUAUAUUUAUGAAGAUACUGACAAUAUUUCUUUGGAUGAUUGGUGUGAAUGAAUGGAUUUUAAAAGGCCACUGGAUCUUUCUUUUUGAUUCUGACAGAUUAGUUACUGUUGGUUGCAUGCCACCCCCUGUGUCAUCUGCUGUCAUCCUUACAAGAGCUGUUGGUGGAAAUGAGGCAGCUGCAAUUUUUAACUCUGUGUUGGGGUGCCUUAUUGGAAUCGUACUUACUCCUUUCACUCUUCUGUUUUUUCUGAGGGCAACAACUCUUGUCCCUGUAUUGAGCACCAUAUUUCAACUUGCAGUCACAGUUAUGGUACCUCUUGCAGUAGGACAACUGAUCUGUUUUGCCACCGACUUUAAAGCAUCAAGUUAUCCUAUCGGCAUACUUGGACAAAUUGCCCUUCUCUUCAUAAUCUUCAUAACCUUCUGCCAAGCAUUCCAAAACCAAGAUAUGCAAAUGAAUGCACAUGAUAUUUUGAUUACAGUUUUGCUUGUGGUUUUGAUCCUUGUGUUCAUCACAUGGCUGGUGUUCUGGAUUUCUUCCAAGAUGACCGGAUUGUUUUGUCCGGAGGAUGUCAUCGCCAUAAUGUUUUGCUGCACUCAUAAAUCUCUAACACUUGGCAUGCCUAUGUUACGCAUAUUAUAUGGUGGAUAUGCUCACUUGUCCACUAUAUCUUUACCUUUACUAGUGUAUCACCCUACCCAGAUCAUAAUGGGAGGACUGCUAGUAGCACAUCUUCAAGACUGGAUGAGAUCUAGACGGCAAUCUAGGACAAGACUAGAAGCUUAAGACUGCAUCAUGGCUAGCUACUUAUACUUCCAGAUAAUACUUCUCUUGAGGAGCCAAUCUUCUUCUUGAAGUAAAAUGACAUGGCUAUAAACCAAUCUGUUCAGAGUGUAAGUAGAAGUGGAGGAUCAGGGAUACAUCUGUUUUGUUAGUAUGAGACUGUUUCAUAUGAUUCAUAAUAUUCAUGCAGUGAACCACAUCAGUGAUGGUUAUUUUUGGCUUGGGUCAUUGAAAUGUAAUGGUCAUGCUGUGAACUUGGAUGUUUAUUUUGGAUUUGUGUUGUUGUAGCUGCCUGACAAGAGUAUGGAGGUUUCAUAUACUUCAUAACAGUUUUCAAUUUUGUAAAGCUUUAUUUCUUAGGUUGCAGAGUUAUUUAACAUCAUCAGAUUACGUGGAGAUGCUUCAAGCAUAGUACUUGCAUUUAGUGUUAGAAAUUCUUUGGUUUACUAACAUUUUUUUAUCUUCAGUAAAUAUGUGAAUGAUAUCUGGAAAUUUUAGCAUGUUACAUAUAAACCUCAAAUCCUACAUGUUACAUAUAAUUUAAAAUAAAUUAAAGUAACUCAAAAGUAAUGUUUUAUGUGACUCUCAAGUAUAAGUUGUGAACUUAAGUUAUAAGGUUGAAUAUUAAUGAAUAUCUGUAAUGGAAACAAUUUUUCAUUCAAUUUUAUCCAGCUUUCGAAAAUGCUUGAGAAUAAUAAGGUUGUGUGCCCAUGAUAUGGUUUAUUUGUAAAGUUGUCUAGUACUUUUCAAUAAGGGUGACUGUUUAGAUGACAUUUAUGCCUUAUAAAGGAUCUACUGAGAAACUUC